GUUAAGCGACUAAGCGUACACGGUGGAUGCCCUGGCAGUCAGAGGCGAUGAAGGACGUGCUAAUCUGCGAUAAGCGUCGGUAAGGUGAUAUGAACCGUUAUAACCGGCGAUUUCCGAAUGGGGAAACCCAGUGUGAUUCGUCACACUAUCAUUAACUGAAUCCAUAGGUUAAUGAGGCGAACCGGGGGAACUGAAACAUCUAAGUACCCCGAGGAAAAGAAAUCAACCGAGAUUCCCCCAGUAGCGGCGAGCGAACGGGGAGCAGCCCAGAGCCUGAAUCAGUGUGUGUGUUAGUGGAAGCGUCUGGAAAGGCGUGCGAUACAGGGUGACAGCCCCGUACACAAAAAUGCACAUGCUGUGAGCUCGAUGAGUAGGGCGGGACACGUGGUAUCCUGUCUGAAUAUGGGGGGACCAUCCUCCAAGGCUAAAUACUCCUGACUGACCGAUAGUGAACCAGUACCGUGAGGGAAAGGCGAAAAGAACCCCGGCGAGGGGAGUGAAAAAGAACCUGAAACCGUGUACGUACAAGCAGUGGGAGCACAGAGCAAUCUGUGUGACUGCGUACCUUUUGUAUAAUGGGUCAGCGACUUAUAUUCUGUAGCAAGGUUAACCGAAUAGGGGAGCCGAAGGGAAACCGAGUCUUAACUGGGCGUUAAGUUGCAGGGUAUAGACCCGAAACCCGGUGAUCUAGCCAUGGGCAGGUUGAAGGUUGGGUAACACUAACUGGAGGACCGAACCGACUAAUGUUGAAAAAUUAGCGGAUGACUUGUGGCUGGGGGUGAAAGGCCAAUCAAACCGGGAGAUAGCUGGUUCUCCCCGAAAGCUAUUUAGGUAGCGCCUCGUGAAUUCAUCUCCGGGGGUAGAGCACUGUUUCGGCAAGGGGGUCAUCCCGACUUACCAACCCGAUGCAAACUGCGAAUACCGGAGAAUGUUAUCACGGGAGACACACGGCGGGUGCUAACGUCCGUCGUGAAGAGGGAAACAACCCAGACCGCCAGCUAAGGUCCCAAAGUCAUGGUUAAGUGGGAAACGAUGUGGGAAGGCCCAGACAGCCAGGAUGUUGGCUUAGAAGCAGCCAUCAUUUAAAGAAAGCGUAAUAGCUCACUGGUCGAGUCGGCCUGCGCGGAAGAUGUAACGGGGCUAAACCAUGCACCGAAGCUGCGGCAGCGACACUGUGUGUUGUUGGGUAGGGGAGCGUUCUGUAAGCCUGCGAAGGUGUGCUGUGAGGCAUGCUGGAGGUAUCAGAAGUGCGAAUGCUGACAUAAGUAACGAUAAAGCGGGUGAAAAGCCCGCUCGCCGGAAGACCAAGGGUUCCUGUCCAACGUUAAUCGGGGCAGGGUGAGUCGACCCCUAAGGCGAGGCCGAAAGGCGUAGUCGAUGGGAAACAGGUUAAUAUUCCUGUACUUGGUGUUACUGCGAAGGGGGGACGGAGAAGGCUAUGUUGGCCGGGCGACGGUUGUCCCGGUUUAAGCGUGUAGGCUGGUUUUCCAGGCAAAUCCGGAAAAUCAAGGCUGAGGCGUGAUGACGAGGCACUACGGUGCUGAAGCAACAAAUGCCCUGCUUCCAGGAAAAGCCUCUAAGCAUCAGGUAACAUCAAAUCGUACCCCAAACCGACACAGGUGGUCAGGUAGAGAAUACCAAGGCGCUUGAGAGAACUCGGGUGAAGGAACUAGGCAAAAUGGUGCCGUAACUUCGGGAGAAGGCACGCUGAUAUGUAGGUGAAGUCCCUCGCGGAUGGAGCUGAAAUCAGUCGAAGAUACCAGCUGGCUGCAACUGUUUAUUAAAAACACAGCACUGUGCAAACACGAAAGUGGACGUAUACGGUGUGACGCCUGCCCGGUGCCGGAAGGUUAAUUGAUGGGGUCAGCGCAAGCGAAGCUCUUGAUCGAAGCCCCGGUAAACGGCGGCCGUAACUAUAACGGUCCUAAGGUAGCGAAAUUCCUUGUCGGGUAAGUUCCGACCUGCACGAAUGGCGUAAUGAUGGCCAGGCUGUCUCCACCCGAGACUCAGUGAAAUUGAACUCGCUGUGAAGAUGCAGUGUACCCGCGGCAAGACGGAAAGACCCCGUGAACCUUUACUAUAGCUUGACACUGAACAUUGAGCCUUGAUGUGUAGGAUAGGUGGGAGGCUUUGAAGUGUGGACGCCAGUCUGCAUGGAGCCGACCUUGAAAUACCACCCUUUAAUGUUUGAUGUUCUAACGUUGACCCGUGAUCCGGGUUGCGGACAGUGUCUGGUGGGUAGUUUGACUGGGGCGGUCUCCUCCUAAAGAGUAACGGAGGAGCACGAAGGUUGGCUAAUCCUGGUCGGACAUCAGGAGGUUAGUGCAAUGGCAUAAGCCAGCUUGACUGCGAGCGUGACGGCGCGAGCAGGUGCGAAAGCAGGUCAUAGUGAUCCGGUGGUUCUGAAUGGAAGGGCCAUCGCUCAACGGAUAAAAGGUACUCCGGGGAUAACAGGCUGAUACCGCCCAAGAGUUCAUAUCGACGGCGGUGUUUGGCACCUCGAUGUCGGCUCAUCACAUCCUGGGGCUGAAGUAGGUCCCAAGGGUAUGGCUGUUCGCCAUUUAAAGUGGUACGCGAGCUGGGUUUAGAACGUCGUGAGACAGUUCGGUCCCUAUCUGCCGUGGGCGCUGGAGAACUGAGGGGGGCUGCUCCUAGUACGAGAGGACCGGAGUGGACGCAUCACUGGUGUUCGGGUUGUCAUGCCAAUGGCACUGCCCGGUAGCUAAAUGCGGAAGAGAUAAGUGCUGAAAGCAUCUAAGCACGAAACUUGCCCCGAGAUGAGUUCUCCCUGACUCCUUGAGAGUCCUGAAGGAACGUUGAAGACGACGACGUUGAUAGGCCGGGUGUGUAAGCGCAGCGAUGCGUUGAGCUAACCGGUACUAAUGAACCGUGAGGCUUAACCUUACAACGCCGAAGGUGUUU
rnacentral:rRNA from 1 species